rnacentral:rRNA from 1 species
GAUGAACGCUGGCGGCGUGCCUAAUACAUGCAAGUCGAGCGAACGGACGAGAAGCUUGCUUCUCUGAUGUUAGCGGCGGACGGGUGAGUAACACGUGGAUAACCUACCUAUAAGACUGGGAUAACUUCGGGAAACCGUAGCUAAUACCGGAUAAUAUUUUGAACCGCAUGGUUCAAAAGUGAAAGACGGUCUUGCUGUCACUUAUAGAUGGAUCCGCGCUGCAUUAGCUAGUUGGUAAGGUAACGGCUUACCAAGGCAACGAUGCAUAGCCGACCUGAGAGGGUGAUCGGCCACACUGGAACUAAGACACGGUCCAGACUCCUACGGGAGGCAGCAGUAGGGAAUCUUCCGCAAUGGGCGAAAGCCUGACGGAGCAACUCCGCGUGAGUGAUGAAGGUCUUCGGAUCGUAAAACUCUGUUAUUAGGGAAGAACAUAUGUGUAAGUAACUGCGCACAUCUUGACGGUACCCAAUCAGAAAGCCACGGCUAACUACGUG